GAUGAACGCUGGCGGCGUGCCUAAUACAUGCAAGUCGAGCGAACAGAUGAGGAGCUUGCUCCUCUGACGUUAGCGGCGGACGGGUGAGUAACACGUGGAUAACCUACCUAUAAGACUGGGAUAACUUCGGGAAACCGGAGCUAAUACCGGAUAAUAUAUUGAACCGCAUGGUUCAAUAGUGAAAGACGGUUUUGCUGUCACUUAUAGAUGGAUCCGCGCCGCAUUAGCUAGUUGGUAAGGUAACGGCUUACCAAGGCAACGAUGCGUAGCCGACCUGAGAGGGUGAUCGGCCACACUGGAACUGAGACACGGUCCAGACUCCGACGGGAGGCAGCAGUAGGGAAUCUUCCGCAAUGGGCGAAAGCCUGACGGAGCAACGCCGCGUGAGUGAUGAAGGUCCUCGGAUCGUAAAACUCUGUUAUUAGGGAAGAACAAAUGUGUAAGUAACUAUGCACGUCUUGACGGUACCUAAUCAGAAAGCCACGGCUAACUACGUG
rnacentral:rRNA from 1 species